GGCCAUGUGGCCCAAUGGCAAGGCGCUUGACUACGAUCCCAGGGCUCUAACCCUCCGACGGCGAUCAAGAGAUUCCAGGUUCGACCCCUGGCAUGGUCA